CAGUCGAGCGGAGAGAGGUAGCUUGCUACUGAUCUUAGCGGCGGACGGGUGAGUAAUGCUUAGGAAUCUGCCUAUUAGUGGGGGACAACAUUUCGAAAGGAAUGCUAAUACCGCAUACGUCCUACGGGAGAAAGCAGGGGAUCUUCGGACCUUGCGCUAAUAGAUGAGCCUAAGUCGGAUUAGCUAGUUGGUGGGGUAAAGGCCUACCAAGGCGACGAUCUGUAGCGGGUCUGAGAGGAUGAUCCGCCACACUGGGACUGAGACACGGCCCAGACUCCUACGGGAGGCAGCAGUGGGGAAUAUUGGACAAUGGGCGCAAGCCUGAUCCAGCCAUGCCGCGUGUGUGAAGAAGGCCUUAUGGUUGUAAAGCACUUUAAGCGAGGAGGAGGCUACUUUAGUUAAUACCUAGAGAUAGUGGACGUUACUCGCAGAAUAAGCACCGGCUAACUCUGUGCCAGCAGCCGCGGUAAUACAGAGGGUGCAAGCGUUAAUCGGAUUUACUGGGCGUAAAGCGCGCGUAGGCGGCUAAUUAAGUCAAAUGUGAAAUCCCCGAGCUUAACUUGGGAAUUGCAUUCGAUACUGGUUAGCUAGAGU
rnacentral:rRNA from 1 species